CACUGUGUAUCAUCGCCACCGGAAAUUGGGUACUAACGAAGCGGAGAGAAAUGGAAAAAAGAAGUAAACAAGGGAAAAAAUAAUAAAAGACUGUUGCUAAGGCUGUUUGGCCUAAACUUAAAUGAGUAGAUGGAGGGGUAGUGAAAAGAAGUGUAUUCGUCCGAAUUUUCAUUGUUUCAGUAGUACAUUUUCAUGAUUACUAUGUAUAAUAUUUCUCAGUAAAUUUUAAUGUGAUAUUGUGCCAAUUAAAAUUAUAUAAUUAAUACAAGUAAGACUUGCAUUUGCCUUAAUAGAUAUAGCAGUA